CUUUACUGUAGCUUUGCAUUGGGCUUUGACGGGACUUGUGUAGGAUAGGUGGGAGGCUGUGAGGCGUGGUCGCCAGAUCGCGCGGAGCCAACCUUGAGAUACCACCCUGGUGUCGUUGUGGUUCUAACCUUGGUCCGUGAAUCCGGAUCGGGGACCGUGCAUGGCAGGCAGUUUGACUGGGGCGGUCUCCUCCCAAAGAGUAACGGAGGAGUACGAAGGUCUUCUAAGCACGGUCGGACAUCGUGCUCAUAGUGCAAUGGCAAAAGAAGGCCUGACUGCGAGUCCAACAAGACGAGCAGGUGCGAAAGCAGGUCAUAGUGAUCCGGUGGUUCUGUAUGGAAGGGCCAUCGCUCAACGGAUAAAAGGUA
rnacentral:rRNA from 1 species